rnacentral:rRNA from 1 species
AUACGUAGGGUGCGAGCGUUAAUCGGAAUUACUGGGCGUAAAGCGUGCGCAGGCGGUUUUGUAAGUCGGAUGUGAAAUCCCCGGGCUCAACCUGGGAACUGCGUUCGAAACUGCAAGGCUAGAGUGUGUCAGAGGGGGGUAGAAUUCCACGUGUAGCAGUGAAAUGCGUAGAGAUGUGGAGGAAUACCAAUGGCGAAGGCAGCCCCCUGGGAUAACACUGACGCUCAUGCACGAAAGCGUGGGGAGCAAACAGGAUUAGAUACCCUGGUAGUCCACGCCCUAAACGAUGUCAACUAGUUGUUGGUAGAGUAAAAUCUAUGAGUAACGUAGCUAACGCGUGAAGUUGACCGCCUGGGGAGUACGGUCGCAAGAUUAAA